rnacentral:lncRNA from 1 species
CAGUCCUUCCAGAGGACUCCAGAUCAGCAAUUCAGAGAGGGGGCAGGACCCAUGUAGCUUCAAUGCUUGAAAAGGUUUUGAAAGCCCUGAAAGAGAUCAAAGCUGAGCUGGGCGCUCAAAGUAAAGGUAUCCAGCGCCUUGAAAGUGCCAUAGACCUUCAGCAAAGACCAUCUGCAGGGCCCAGCUUGGACUCCUCCGUGCUGGAUUUGCUUCCCCUUACAACACAGUCAAGUCUGGAGGAGCUUGAGCGCCUACUCCAAGAUGACGCUAACAGAGCAGGACUGAUUUCCCAUCUCUCGCACAUCGGGGGAGCCUCUCUGCCAGAUGCUGUGCGCCACAUCCUAAAACGAUGCAUGAAUGACAUCCUUGCCCAAGAUUUCUCGUUGACAGGGCGAAAGGGAAAGCGGCCGUUAAUAGGCCUGCGACUGACGCGAGUAA